GUGGCCUAGUGGUUAGAGCAUCCACCUCAAAUGUGGGAGAUUGUGGGUUUGAACCCCCAGUCAAGUCA